AAUAUAUCGGAACGUACCCUAGAGUGGGGGAUAACGUAGCGAAAGUUUCGCUAAUACCGCAUACGAUCUAAGGAUGAAAGUGGGGGAUCGCAAGACCUCAUGCUCGUGGAGCGGCCGAUAUCUGAUUAGCUAGUUGGUAGGGUAAAAGCCUACCAAGGCAUCGAUCAGUAGCUGGUCUGAGAGGACGACCAGCCACACUGGAACUGAGACACGGUCCAGACUCCUACGGGAGGCAGCAGUGGGGAAUUUUGGACAAUGGGCGAAAGCCUAAUCCAGCAAUGCCGCGUGAGUGAAGAAGGCCUUCGGGUUGUAAAGCUCUUUUGUCAGGGAAGAAACGGUGAGAGCUAAUAUCUCUUGCUAAUGACGGUACCUGAAGAAUAAGCACCGGCUAACUACGUGCCAGCAGCCGCGGUAAUACGUAGGGUGCAAGCGUUAAUCGGAAUUACUGGGCGUAAAGCGUGCGCAGGCGGUUUUGUAAGUCUGAUGUGAAAUCCCCGGGCUCAACCUGGGAAUUGCAUUGGAGACUGCAAGGCUAGAAUCUGGCAGAGGGGGGUAGAAUCCCACGUGUAGCAGUGAAAUGCGUAGAUAUGUGGAGGAACACCGAUG
rnacentral:rRNA from 1 species